rnacentral:lncRNA from 1 species
UCUUUUCUUAAAAACUUAUAAAGGGGAAACUGACAUUUAUGGUAUAGUUGCCAAUGAGAUAACAUUCUGGAAACUUAUCACCAGAGUCCAAGUCUCUGUUAGCAGUGACAGUUAAAUUACAAGUCACUUUACAUACAUCAACAAUCAAUACAUUCCAUUGUUUUAAGGCAAAUGAGGAAAAUAAGAGUAACAAUAGCUUUUGCCUUACUACAUGCACAAGAGAAUAUUAGAAAUUAUAAUAUAAAUAAGUAAAUAUCAGAGGCAAAAAAGACAG